GUCUGUCUAUUCUGUAUUUGAUUCUCUUAUCAGUCUCUGUAAAUAAGAUAUGUAGGAUUUCUAGAAGGAUACUCAUAUUCAUUGUGCCUUUGAUCAAAGAUCAAAGGAGAUCAAAGGCACUGUGUGACAUCAUCUCAGUUAGGCUCCACCCACAAGCAGUCAUGACGUCACAUGAAUUUUGCGUGCUUUGAACCUGCGCAUGCGCCCUGUGACGCGCAUACAGGACGCAUGCGCUUCCUUGUCCGCCAAAACACAAGAAGACAACUGCAGCGGUCAGGUUUAAGGUUAGACAUUCAGGAUUUUUGUAUGUUUGUAACGUUUGUAACGUAACGGAGUUAAAUGUAACAACUUGGUAAUAUAAUCUGUAAUAUUUGCCAUUAUCGCACAUCACGUAUCACUGUAGCUUAAUUUUACAACGGUCACUAAACUCAACGUCCCUGUGGAUUUGGGUCGUGAACCGCUGGAGUCAGUUGGACCCUUGCUGUCCCCUUGAACCCAGAGGACCAGAGAGAUUUUUGAGACACGUCCUCGACAAUUUGGUGCCGUGACCCGGAUGAAGAUGGAGAAGUGAGAGUGAAUCUUGAGCUUCACACCGGACGGGCGGGAACGAGUGACUCCAAAACUUUGUGGCCACAGAAAAAAGCCAUAGAGAACGGGGAUGCUCCAGCAUACCAGAUGACAGAACUGGUCCCUGAGGCUCCAGCGUUAGGUGGAGAUGGGGACUACGUGUUGGCUUGUGACCCUGCUUUUGAUUUUUCGUGUCUCAACUUUGUGCAGCUGACACAGUGCCCCCUCAAGCAGCUACUACAGCAAGCAGUGUCACAAGCAGAGCCAUCUGGCUGUUCAGGAUAUCAGAAGAGAGGCAGCUCAAGAGGACCAGGCCGAGCAAGUCCUGAGGAUCUGUGUCUUCCUCACAUGUGAAGAAGAUGAAGGUGCAUCCAACGCUGAUGUGUCCAUUGUGGCUGAGGGGACUGAGGUACUUGACAACUGUGGAAGUGUUGCAAAGGCCUGUCUCCUGCUGAUGGACAUCAUUUAUGCCAUGAACUUGAGUUACCCACCAAAAAUGAAGUACACUUAUGAAGUGUUCCAAAAGCUCCUUCUAGAGCUUGAUGUCCUUAAGCUGUCAGGUAGUGGAAUCAGUUUUGCUAGAGAACUGGAGCAUCAUAAUGCCACCAAUUGCAAUUUGUGUAAAGUCUGUGAAAUUCUACACUGUAUAUUUCUAAAAUAUUUUUCCUUCCAUAUAGUCCUUUGUAUAAAAUGUACAUAUGUACAGUCAGCUUUUAUUUUGUAUUUUGUAUUUCUCUAUCUCUGUUGCUAUUUUUUCUUUUCUGACUGCCAUUACCUGCUGCCUGUAAUACCUGAAUUUCCCCACUGGGGAUUAGUUUUUCUCAGUGGCUUUGGUGCUUUUCUCAGCUCAGAAUGAAAAUUCUCAUAACUCUUAGUUCAACCUUCACAACUUUUACUCAUUUGUGCGCAUCAUAGAAGCAAUUUCUCCUUCCUCUGUUCCUUGUUGUAGUUAUCAAAUUCUGUCAAGCAAAUGUUAUACCUUUCUUCAUCAUUUUUUCCUGGAAAUGUCUCCUAAAUUGAGUGUGUGCCAGAAUGAUUUACCUAUGUUCAGUUACAGUAUGUGCUGUUAUAUUGUUCACAUUUGUGCACAGCUCUACCAAAGGGUGUUUCUUAUGUUUGCUCGAAAUAAGUGAUUGCAGUAUAUUUUUCAUUUGCAAAUUGCAAAGCACAUAUGCAGUAAAAAUGUGAAACGUACCGUAUUCAGUGUCUUGAUCUCACUUACUCCUCUAACUACAACAAUGUGUAACUUUACUGUUGUUUUCAAUGGUUGUACAAGCAGUGUAUAGUGCUGUCUUGAGCAUUUUCAGGUGGGGUCACUGAGUUCUGACCUUUUUUGGCAUUGGAAAACACUGAGAGAAUAAACUGUCAUGAUGAAAACAUGACAAAACCAUUUGACUAUCUUUUUCAUACACGAUGGUGUCAAGGCUUCUCAUUUUGAUGACACUGGCAGUUUCAUUGACAUAAGUACUUGCUUUUGAGGGAUGGACUAUCCAUUUUUAGCAAGUGAUGUGCUUUUGCAGGUUAUACACUAGGUUUUGCAGUUUGCACUAAUUGUUUUGAGAAAUGCACGAACUGUUGUGCAAAUUUUAAGAGUGAUGUGAGAAAAGCACCAAAGCGAUUGAGAAAAACUGGAAUAAAGUAUAUCUUAUAUUAAUGACAAGAAAACUAUGUGAAAAUUAGCUCACAUGAAAUAUUACUGCAAAGUCAUAACAGUGCGAUUUUAUAGUCAAUGAUUGCAAGCUUACAAACAAUAAAAAAAAAUCUGCAUAUGUCCAGUGUGUUUCCAACAUAUUAACACACAGUAGUUCCAUUCAGCUGUGGAUUCAUACACAGCAAAGCAAAAAGAAAAAAAAAGAAACAUUUGGACAGAACAAAUAA